GCAGUCGAGCGGAUGACGGGAGCUUGCUCCUUGAUUCAGCGGCGGACGGGUGAGUAAUGCCUAGGAAUCUGCCUGGUAGUGGGGGACAACGUUUCGAAAGGAACGCUAAUACCGCAUACGUCCUACGGGAGAAAGCAGGGGACCUUCGGGCCUUGCGCUAUCAGAUGAGCCUAGGUCGGAUUAGCUAGUUGGUGGGGUAAUGGCUCACCAAGGCGACGAUCCGUAACUGGUCUGAGAGGAUGAUCAGUCACACUGGAACUGAGACACGGUCCAGACUCCUACGGGAGGCAGCAGUGGGGAAUAUUGGACAAUGGGCGAAAGCCUGAUCCAGCCAUGCCGCGUGUGUGAAGAAGGUCUUCGGAUUGUAAAGCACUUUAAGUUGGGAGGAAGGGCAGUAAGCGAAUACCUUGCUGUUUUGACGUUACCGACAGAAUAAGCACCGGCUAACUCUGUGCCAGCAGCCGCGGUAAUACAGAGGGUGCAAGCGUUAAUCGGAAUUACUGGGCGUAAAGCGCGCGUAGGUGGUUCGUUAAGUUGGAUGUGAAAGCCCCGGGCUCAACCUGGGAACUGCAUCCAAAACUGGCGAGCUAGAGUACGGUAGAGGGUGGUGGAAUUUCCUGUGUA
rnacentral:rRNA from 1 species